CCGCGUGAGGGAUGACGGCCUUUGGGUUGUAAACCUCUUUUCUCAAGGGAGAAGUUCUGACGUGUACUUGAAGAAUAAGCAUCGGCUAACUCCGUGCCAGCAGCCCGCGGUAAGACGGAGGAUGCAAGUGUUAUCCGGGAUUAUUGGGCGUAAAGCGUCUGUAGGUUGCCUAGCAAGUCUAUUGUUAAAGGUUAAAGCUUAACUUUAAAACUGCAGUAGAAACUGCUAAGCUUGAGUACAGUCGAAGUAGAGGGAAUUUCCAGUGAAGCGGUGAAAUGCGUAGAUAUUGGAAGGAACACCAAUGGCGAAAGCACUCUACUAGGCUUUUACUGUCACUCAGAGACGAAAGCUAGGGUAGCAAAGGAUAUAACGCU
rnacentral:rRNA from 1 species